UGAAAAUAAAAUCCAGUGGUUCUUUGAGAUUGUUUCUAUCUUAGCUACAGUCUAAAUUACUAAUGUUUGAAAUCUGACCUUGAUAUUAUGUCAUGUAUUUAGAUAAAAUUUUUUGAAACACAUACUAAACAUGUCUUAAUAUUGAGGAAGAAGUUAUUCUCAUUAUUUAAGAAACUUCCUCAAGUUUUAAAAUUAAGGCUGAUCACACAUGUUUUCAUUUUUCUACUUUUAUUUUUAAAGUAUGUUGGAGACAUUAAUCAUGUAAUUGUUUAGAUACCUGACCUUUCUUCCCUCAGUGGGAUUCUUACUGCUUUAUUUAAGUCCGUGGUUGUCUGUGGGUCCUUAUUAUCACACUGACACUUCAGGACAUGUUCCCAUUUGAUACAGUGUUUUGAAAUGGAUUACUUUUUCUUCUUCAGCUCUCAUCUUGAUACUCUCAGCUUUUCUUUUGAAAUGGCGCUCUAAAACAAGGUAUAGUAACUAGCAUAAAAAGCUGUAAAUUUUUGUGCAUUUAAAAUUCUGUGUGCAUGUAAAUUUUGUUGUGUCCCAUAAGCAGUGACAUAUGUUUUGAUAUACAACUGUGGACUUAGUAAAACUGACUUCUCUGUGUUUCUUUACUCCUUUGUCUUUGAACUAUCGCUAGUGGGUGGCAGAAGUUAAACCUGAAUUGUAGGACUGUGGUAGGGUUAAAGGGAACCACCAAAGGCUGGUGAAGCCCCCCACACAGAGCAAGACUGGGGAGCUAGAGCUGUUACCACUCCUAGGUCUAAAAGGUAAAGGGAAAUGUGGUUACUAGGACCUUGGAGGGCAGCGGCAGGAGAGGGCCUCUUGACAGAGGCCAAGGCGUUUGGAAGAGGGACACAGCCACCCUGGGGUGACUCAGCAGGGAGGAAACACAGAAUGAUGAACUCACAUUGCACUAUCUUCCCAACUAUUUUUUUUUUAUUUGUUGAAGUAUGGCUGAUUUACAGUGUUGUAUUAAUUUCUGCUGUUCAUCAAAGUGAUUCAGUUAUACAUAUCCACAUAUCCAUUCCCAUGUACGUUAUCACAGAAUAUUGAGAAGAUUUUCCUGUGCUUCCCAGCUAUUCAUUUCCUAUCUCUUCUUCCCUUCCUUCUUCAGCCAAACCCAGUGGAAACCAGAGACAAGGGAGCCCAGUGAUGCCCCUUCUAGGGCACAAGGCAAGGUAGACAAAGGUGAAAAAUAGAUCUGGAGGGUGAAAUGGAAAUAAUCCAGCAUACAGAUCUACUUCAAGACUCUAAUGGCUACAUGUAUUCCAUUAUACCUAAUACCUUAAUUUACAUAACAAAACAUGCAGAGAUGGAUAUUUAGAUUGUUUCCAAUUAUUCAUUAGUAUAAAUAAAUACCUUUGGAACAUUCCCAUUGUGGCCUAGCAGGUUAAGAACCCGACACAGUGUCCAUGAGGUUGCAGGUUUGAUCCCUAUUCUCACUCAGUGGGUUAAGGGUCAGGUGUUGCUGCAAGCUGUGGGUGGUAUAGGUCACAGAUGCAGCUCAGAUCCUGCAUUGUUGUGGCUAUGGCAUAGGCCUGCAGCUACAGUUCUGGUUCCACCCCUAGCCCUGGUACUUCCAUAUGCUGCAGGUGCAGCUAUAAAAAAAAAAAAAAAAAAAAGAAAGAAAACUUUGGAUCAUUAUGCAUAUCCAUAAUUAUUUUCUUAGGAUAAAUUCCUAGAAAUAGCAUUGUUAACGCAUGUGAACAUUUGUAUUUCUGUCAUUGUUAGAUUUAUUUCCGGGAGGAUUAUAUCCACUUAUUCUCUACCCAACAAUAUAUCAAAGUGUUCAUUUCCUUACACCUUUGCAAAAACUUUUGUCUUUUAUAUCUUUCCCAAUCUAAUAGAUUAAAAAAAAAACCUCUCUUUAGUUGUAGUUUCAAAAUUACGGAUGAGAUUGAACAUCUUUUCACAAGUUAAUUGGCUAUUAGACAGUUUUUAUCUAGGGCAUGUCAUCUUAAUAUCAUUGUGCAAAUAAAACAUGAGAAAAAAUUACUACAUUGUUACAAUUACCUUAUAAGAUGGAGUCAACUCUUUAGCAAACAUGAUACCAAAAAAAGACAGGUUAUUCAGUUGAUAUUUUGCCCUGUGGUCAUUAUACAAAUAAUUUGAGUCAUUAGCAUCUUUAGGAACAAGUAAUGCCAUGGAAUUUAGAGCCAGAUGUGAGUGGACUUAACCUGCCUUGCAGCUAUGUGUGGGAAGGCAGAACUUUACCUGCACUAGAGAUAAAAAAGAAUAAUAUGAAUUCUUCCACAUGAGAGCUCUUUAAAAUUUCUCUCUUCUAGGUUAAACAUCUGAAGUUUCUUUUAGAAGAUUCCAUACUCCACCAUUCUCUUUGCUCUCCUCUGGAAGCCCUCCAAUUUGAUAAUACUCCACUUAAAAAUUGGUGCUGUUGGCAUGGGUGUGGGUGAGCAAGUGCUCUCAUACACUCUGGUAGGCGUGUGAAUUUGAACAGAUACACUGGAGGGCAACUUGGCAGUAGCUACUAACACUGAGACUGCACAUAGGCAGUAAUUCUUCCCUUUUCACUCACUUGUAGAGAAACAAAUAGAUGUGCAAUAGAUCACACUGCCUCUGGCUAAAUGUCAUCAGUCCAUUUAAAAUGGGUCAGUGGCUGGAACUAAAGGAAGCUGGACCAGAGUGGGUUAGAGCAAAGGGUAAACCUUCCGGACAGACUAGAUUGGAGAGCAAGACUAAGCAACUGAGCUAAAAGCCUAGGAUCUAGGCCAAAACAGUGAAGAGUAGAAAUAGGCAGUCAAUAGGAAUUUUUUUUCAGGCUCACUUGAUGUCUGGCCAGUAACAGAAGGACUGACACCAGAUUCCUCAUUGCCACCACAGCUGGCCUGCUGAGAUGGCUGGUACACUUUCUACCCUGGUGGGCACAGUAGAUUCUAACCAGGAAAGGAAGGAGUUGAAGGAACUGGAAACCAUUGACCUAUAUCUAGAGUAUUGUCUUCACCUCGGCAAAAUAAGAAGUUAUGAGUCAGUGGUUUUUAGAUGGCUUCAUUUCUAAAUGCUCACAAACUAUAUUUUUAAAUAUAAUUUUGAUGUGGGUUGACAUUAAGCCUUCCUUCAUAAUUUGCAGGCUCCUCACCCCUACCCACUCUGCCUGCUUUUUGCAAACAGGACCAUUUGCCUGCCUUCCAACUCAAAGUUUCCACUCUGUUCCUGUGAUUCCUCUGUGUCCCUUGCAGUCUUGGUGUGAAACUGCCUUUGCCAACUUUGGCUUCUCAGAACCCAAGCUGAGAAAGGGAGGGCAUUUGGACAACAGCUUUCCUGACAGUCGAAAUUGCCAAUCACUACUGCAUUUGUCUCUCUGCCAGUUCUUCCUCUGAAUUAAACUGCAUUAUUAUAUCAGAUGUCUGGCCAGGAUGCCAAUCUUAUAAGAAUUUCACUUUUUUCCUUCUCUGUCAUUUUACUUCCAACUGAACUGAUCUCACAGUGAUUCCACUUUGUAGCUUAUGAAUAUCUCUCAGCCCAUAUUGGCUAGCUCUAAUCUGUUAGAGAGACAGUGCUUAAAAACUUAGACACUCAUGCCAGAAUGCUGCAUUUAAAUUCUAGUUCCAUCUUCUCUCUGUGCCUCAGUCUAUCAUCUGAGACUACAAAAUACAGAUAAUAAUACUUGUAAGAUACCAUUAACCUGUGACACAGAGUAAGUGCUCUGUAAAUGUUAGCCGCUGUUUCUGUUAGUUAAGGUAAGGCGCUUCCAACACCAAGUUCUAGCUGCCUGUCCCUUCUAACUGUAUCUUCUUUUGUCUACACAGCAUUCAUCUCCUUUGGUGAAAAUUUCAAGCUAACUUGAUUCAUAACCUUAUACUUUGUUAAUUUAUAUAUGAACAUAUAUGGUUAUAGUACUGUUGUUCCCAAUCCCGUCCCCUGUUUUCUUUCAAGACUUAUUAGUCUGCUCUGCUUGUUACUGUUCUUCUCAUGUCCUACACGUUGUUGUUUGUAAGAGUACAGUUUUACUUGGGCAUUUUUCCUUUCCUGUAGAGGUUGACACUUUUUUUGCCAAAUGUAUUCCUUCCAGCCCAUGCAAAAAUACUCCACCCUCUGCAGGAGUCCACCAUCCAUGAAAUCUAAAUUCAUCCUUACCCAUCAAGAAAGCUGGCUGGUCACUUCUCACAUCCUCCUUUAUCUUGCAGAGUUAUAGCCUUUUCUUGGAAGGAUAGAUAAGAACACAUCUUGUGCCCUGGAGUCCUUCGACUUCCUGCCUAGAACUUCAAAAUGCACAGAGAGACAUCUUGGACAGUUCCAACUCUGUUCUGUAAGCCCAGAUAAGCCAUUAGAAAUUAGUAAUACUGAAGGGAUUUGAUCAACAGCAGACUGUCCUAACUCAGAUGUAAUCAAGAGCCAAAAAUAGGUGGGCACAUGGCUAAUGAGCAUCUGAGUGGUUGGGGAGGACAGAGAUACAAGGCUGAACUCAUAAUACUUCCCAUGUGAGCUCUCUGAUGUCCAAGAGGGUGAGAAGGGUUACACCACUCAUUAUGAAUCUGAGGUUUUUGCCCAGCAAGGCACUGGCGAUGCUCUGAGUGUGGGUUCUGUGAUGAAGAACAAGGGGUGCAGAGACUGAAGUGUUUUCACAUUCAUUAUGCCUAGAGAUUUGAUUCCAUGUAGAGAAUCUCUGAAUUAUAAUAGGAACCCUUUCCAUAAGUAUAAUUUUAACCGGGUCCUUUCUCCUGUGGGAAUUUAUGAUGUAUAACAAGAUGUGGGCUCAGACCUCACAUGAGAGCUUCCCUCCACAUUCAUUAAAUUUCACUAAAUUUAUAGUCUUGCUCUCAUUUUCUCAUAUGAAACUUCUGUUCUGGGAGAGAGAGUCUGCCUUUUGUAUUGCAUCUUAAUCUCAGGCCUGCCCUCAAAAACCAUAGUGCCCUUCAAAAGUGGGGUGGGGGUAGACUUUCUGCUUAUUUCCAUGGGCACCCACCGCAUGUCUUUGUCUUAGAGUGAU
rnacentral:lncRNA from 1 species